rnacentral:lncRNA from 1 species
CCCUUCCUCAGCCAAGCACACACACUAAGCACCCGGAGGACAUAAAUAUAACAUAGAAUAACAGAUAUUUAUUAAGCACCUACUGUGUGUAGAUGCUUGGGGAGAUGUAAAGUUUAAAUGACCAGGACAGGUAUCUUUUAUAUCUAGGAGCACCAGGAAGCCUUGGGGGUGUUGGAGGGAUAAGACUGUAAGAUGGAGUACCAAGCAGAGGUCUGAGGGGUUCAGGUCCCAGGAUCCCCUACCAUUUAGGAGUGUGAUCAUUGAUGGGGGGGUAUUUAUUUAUUUUUUAAAAUUUUACUUUUAUAUUUCUAUUUUAAUGUUUAUUUAAUAUUAUUUAUAUAUUUUCCUUUUCAGAUAAUUCAGAAAUUUCUUCCCUUCACCCUACCUCCUCCACCCACAGGGGCAGUAGUUAGAGAGAGAGGCAGUCCAGGGUCUCUUUCCUUAGGAACAAGUUUAGUUUCUAGUCCAUUCUCAGAACCUUUAUCAUCCUCCUGCUGAGAGGUACCACUUCUGAAUCCACUUGUUUUCUCCCUAGUUUGGAUCUUCCAGGAAUUCAAGCACCCUCUGAUCGACGAACCAUGGGUCAGAGGAGGACAAUGUCACCAUGCUAAGGAGAGUAAGGCAUGCAAGGAUUGUAGUCCUGCAGGUGUGGCCCCUGACUCAGGCUUUUCUGCAACUAGAGGAAGUCCAAGCUCUCCUGGCUUUGAGAGAAAAUGACUAUCAGGCCUGGGGGCAGCGGGUCUGUGCACUGGAGACUCUCAGCCUGAAUGCUGGAGGGAGAACUGACAGUGCUGAGUCUGGAUAGCAUGCCCAUUCUGCACUCAGGAAGGAACCAGGGAGGAUGAACUACCUUCUUGGGCCUCAUGGAUUGUACACCGGCCUUCAAAGACCAAGAAGGAGUGACUGGAACCUUUAGAGGGCCUGG